rnacentral:tRNA from 1 species
UAGCCUAGUGGUUAAGGCUAUGGAUCGCCAAUCCAGAGACGGCGGGCUCGAUUCCCGU